rnacentral:rRNA from 1 species
AGCGAACGCUGGCGGCAGGCUUAACACAUGCAAGUCGAACGCCCCGCAAGGGGAGUGGCAGACGGGUGGGUAACACGUGGGAACGUACCCUCUGGUUCUGAAUAACUUGGGGAAAUUCAAGCUAAUACCGGAUAAGCCCUUAUGCGGAACGGUUUACUGCCGAAGGAUCGGCCCGCGGCUGAUUAGCUAGUUGGUGAGGUAAUGGCUCACCAAGGCGACGAUCAGUAGCUGGUCUGAGAGGAUGAUCAGCCACACUGGGACUGAGACACGGCCCAGACUCCUACGGGAGGCAGCAGUGGGGAAUAUUGCGCAAUGGGCGAAAGCCUGACGCAGCCAUGCCGCGUGAAUGAUGAAGGUCUUAGGAUUGUAAAAUUCUUUUACCAGGGACGAUAAUGACGGUACCUGGAGAAAAAGCCCCGGCUAACUUCGUGCCAGCCGCCGCCGUAA